UUUCCGUAGGUGAACCUGCGGAAGGAUCAUUACUGAGUGAGGGCCCCUCGGGGUCCAACCUCCCACCCGUGUUUAACGAACCUUGUUGCUUCGGCGGGCCCGCCUCACGGCCGCCGGGGGGCAUCUGCCCCCGGGCCCGCGCCCGCCGAAGCCUCCUGUGAACGCUGUCUGAAGUAUGCAGUCUGAGACAAUUAUUAAAUUAAUUAAAACUUUCAACAACGGAUCUCUUGGUUCCG
rnacentral:misc_RNA from 1 species